CCUGGAACAAGUGAUGACUAUUUUUUUCCCCAGCUUAUCGAAAAUGCUGAUACAAUGCUGUGUUUUUAUAGCCAGAACUUUCUGAUGUUCCAAG